rnacentral:rRNA from 1 species
UGGGGAAUCUUGGACAAUGGGCGCAAGCCUGAUCCAGCCAUGCCGCGUGAGUGAUGAAGGCCCUAGGGUCGUAAAGCUCUUUCGCCAGGGAUGAUAAUGACAGUACCUGGUAAAGAAACCCCGGCUAACUCCGUGCCAGCAGCCGCGGUAAUACGGAGGGGGUUAGCGUUGUUCGGAAUUACUGGGCGUAAAGCGCGCGUAGGCGGAUUGGAAAGUUGGGGGUGAAAUCCCGGGGCUCAACCCCGGAACUGCCUCCAAAACUCCCAGUCUUGAGUUCGAGAGAGGUGAGUGGAACUCCGAGUGUAGAGGUGAAAUUCGUAGAUUUUCGGAAGAACACCAGUGGCGAAGGCGGCUCACUGGCUCGAUACUGACGGUGAGGUGCGAAAGUGUGGGGAGCAAACAGGAUUAGAUACCCUGGUAGUCCACACCGUAAACGAUGAAUGCCAGUCGUCGGGUAGCAUGCUAUUCGGUGACACACCUAAC